rfam:Nematostella vectensis strain CH2 x CH6 NEMVEscaffold_29_Cont5121, whole genome shotgun sequence.
GUCAGGAUGGCAGAGUGGUCUUAGGCGCUAGACUCAAGGUUCAGUUCCUUCUCAUGAUACAUGGUAGAGUGUUCUGUUCUCCUAAUGGAGGCGUGGAUUCGAAUCCCACUUCUGAUA